rnacentral:rRNA from 1 species
UGGGGAAUAUUGCACAAUGGGCGCAAGCCUGAUGCAGCCAUGCCGCGUGUAUGAAGAAGGCCUUCGGGUUGUAAAGUACUUUCAGCGGGGAGGAAGGUGUUGUGGUUAAUAACCACAGCAAUUGACGUUACCCGCAGAAGAAGCACCGGCUAACUCAGUGCCAGCAGGCGCGGUAAUACGGAGGGUGCAAGCGUUAAUCGGAAUUACUGGGCGUAAAGCGCACGCAGGCGGUCUGUCAAGUCGGAUGUGAAAUCCCCGGGCUCAACCUGGGAACUGCAUCCGAAACUGGCAGGCUUGAGUCUUGUAGAGGGGGGUAGAAUUCCAGGUGUAGCGGUGAAAUGCGUAGAGAUCUGGAGGAAUACCGGUGGCGAAGGCGGCCCCCUGGACAAAGACUGACGCUCAGGUGCGAAAGCGUGGGGAGCAAACA